GACGAACCGUCCUAACGUUGUUCGGAAUCACUGGGCUUAAAGGGCGCGUAGGCGGCCCUGCAAGUCGGGGGUGAAAUCCCACGGCCCAACCGUGGAAGUGCCUUCGAUACUACAGGGCUCGAGGGAGGCAGGGGCAGCGGGAACUUCCGGUGGAGCGGUGAAAUGCGUUGAUAUCGGAAGGAACGCCGGCGGCGAAAGCGCGCUGCUGGACCUCUACUGACGCUGAGGCGCGAAAGCCAGGGGAGCAAACGGG
rnacentral:rRNA from 1 species